UGACCACCCCUUUCCCGGGGUCAAGGCCAUACGGACAGCCGGGUCAAAUGCCGA
rnacentral:sRNA from 1 species